UGCGUAGGGCGCAAGCGUUAUCCGGAAUUAUUGGGCGUAAAGAGCUCGUAGGCGGUUUGUCGCGUCUGCCGUGAAAGUCCGGGGCUCAACCCCGGAUCUGCGGUGGGUACGGGCAGACUAGAGUGAUGUAGGGGAGACUGGAAUUCCUGGUGUAGCGGUGAAAUGCGCAGAUAUCAGGAGGAACACCGAUGGCGAAGGCAGGUCUCUGGGCAUUAACUGACGCUGAGGAGCGAAAGCAUGGGGAGCGAACAGG
rnacentral:rRNA from 1 species